rnacentral:lncRNA from 1 species
CCGGCCCGGGAAACCCCCCUUGCUACGGCCUCCGAAGGGAAGGAGGAAGCCCCCCCCCUAGGGCUGGGCCUCGACGGAGCUGCGGGGCUGCGCGCCCGCGAGGUGCUCUCAUGGUUCCACAAGGCCUGGCUGUUCCUGCUUUAGCGGGACGGAAGCGAACUGCGCCGUCAUUAACCGAACGAGUCAUCUAAAUGGGAAACUAAGGGCUGGCACAGGCUGGAGACCAGAAGUGGCACUUCACAUGCUGAGCUGUUUCCAAGUGUGCACCCAAAAAGCUGCGGAAAGGGCGGGAGGCUAUGGAGCCCCGCCUUUGCCCACAAGCCUCUGGCCUCUACGACAGGCUGGCCUCUACCAGCGGCUGAGUCCGUGAAGGCUGCUAAUGGAGGCCCUGCCUGUCAGAACAGAUCCAUCUGUAAAGAAAUUACCAGCAAGGGGUCACAACUAAGUGACUGCAUUUCUCCUAAGCUCUCCUCUGAGAGUGUUGUAUGAAAAACUGGUUUAAAAAACACCCUAUAAUAUUAUAUAAAUGAAAAAAUAAAUCCUUACCCUCUGGGCUCUGAAUGUGUGAAAC